CUAGCCGUAAACGAUGGAUACUAGGUGUUAGAGGUAUCGACCCCUCUAGUGCCGAAGCUAACGCAUUAAGUAUCCCGCCUGGGGAGUACGGCCGCAAGGCUGAAACUCAAAGGAAUUGACGGGGGCCCGCACAAGCGGUGGAGCAUGUGGUUUAAUACGUCACUAACCGUAGAACCUUACCCAGGCUUGACAUCUGGGGAAUCCUGGUGAAAGCCGGGAGUGCUGUUUACAGAACCCCAAGACAGGUGU
rnacentral:rRNA from 1 species